UCCAGUUUCGAGAGGUAAACCACCUCGACCAUCCGGUAAUGUCAGUGGUAGUCGAUGAGCUACAAAAGAUACUGCAGGUAGGCUUGAGACACGAGCACCUACUAGGACAUAUGCCAUUCGUGCCAGAGAAGAUGCCUCAGCACCCGAUGUUAUUACUGAUCCAGAAGAUUCAAAUACGAAGCUAGAUCGAGGAAAGGAAAAAGUUCGGGAUUAGUAGAUUUUUACUGUUUACAAACAAGUAUCAAGUGUUAAGAGCUCGGAGGUCGGAUUUGGUCGGAGACACAUCACACUGUCAACCUCAGGAUUUCGAUAUAUAAAGAAACUUUAUUUUGGAAAUCAAUGGCAUGUAUAAGCUAACAAAGUAAAUGUUAACGUGAAAUGAAUGUAAAGUUAGCCAUUAGUAUGGUUAACAAACCUGGUUAUAGAUAUGUGAUGACGUUAUCUUAUAUAAAUGCAUGAAUCUAUCAUGAAAA